GUUUUCCCCAGGACUCCGCAGAGAGAGGAUGGAAGAGGUGCCAAAGAGGCAACUGAUGGCCAUCCUGCCACAGCAGCAGAGCUGGUGUUAAUAUUUCUGGAGUGAAAACCUUAUCUUUAAGGACCCAUGACACGGAAAUGAAGAUGAGUUGUUCUUGUGACAAAGAAAGAGAUGAAUCUAUGCUUCUGGAAAACAUCUUUCACUCGCUUUAUUAUAACAAGGUGUGAUUGUUGCUUGGAGUUCUCAGGGCUAUCCCACCACACAGCAGCCUGCAUUCUCAGCUAACUCCAUAUCAUAGAAAAUCUGUUCCCAUGAGCUCAGCAAAUGUUUGCAUGGUGGACUGGCAUAGACUGUAAGCCAAGAGCAAUAUGGGGAAGGGAGCAGCACUGAGCCAUGAAGAAACGCAAAGUACUUCAUGUAUGAGAGCCAACACAGCUGCAGGAACCAUAAGGAAUCAUCUAUGGGAGCUUGAGCAUGCAGUGAGAGCUUCCUCCCAGGGUAGUGACACUUGUCCCCAAAAUGAGGAGAGCUGCCAGGUUGGAGUACUGGGAGUGGAUGGAAGCACGUUUCUGACCCAGACAGCCAGUCUUGUGAGAGAUGUGAAUGUAACGAGCGAGGAGCAGCCCUAGAAUACACCCAGAGGGGCUUUCAGAUGGGAUUUGACCCUGCAGAGUGCCGGACCACGCGUUGCUGCAUUACUGUGUCUCCCAGCUGGAGA